rnacentral:rRNA from 1 species
GACGAACGCUGGCGGCGUGCUUAACACAUGCAAGUCGAACGGUGAAGCGCCUUCCUUUUUGGUGGGUGGGGAUGAGUGGCGAACGGGUGAGUAACACGUGAGUAACCUGCCCUCUCCUUCUGGAUAACCGCAUGAAAGUGUGGCUAAUACGGGAUACUCCGGGUCUGUCGCAUGAUGGGUCUGUGAAAGCUUUUGCUUCGGUGGGGGAUGGGAUCGCGGACUAUCUGCUUGUUGGUGGGGUGAUGGCCUACCAAGGCGGUGACGAGUAGCUGGCCGGAGAGGAUCAACGACACUGGAGGGGAUACGAGACGGAGCAGACUACUAGAGGAGGCAGUGGUGAAGAUUAGUGCACGGUGGGCGGAAUGCUGAAGCAGCAACGCGGCGUGAAAGAUGGAGGCCGUCGGGUUGUGAACCUCUUUCGCGAGAGAAGCAGGCCUGGCUCGUAUGUGGGUGGGUUGACGGUAGCUGGAUAAGAAGCACCGGCUAACUACGUG